UACGGGGGGGGCAAGCGUUGUUCGGAAUUACUGGGCGUAAAGGGCUCGUAGGCGGCCAACUAAGUCGGACGUGAAAUCCCUCGGCUUAACCGGGGAACUGCGUCCGAUACUGGUUGGCUUGAAUCCGGGAGAGGGACGUGGAAUUCCAGGUGUAGCGGUGAAAUGCGUAGAUAUCUGGAGGAACACCGGUGGCGAAGGCGGCAUCCUGGACCAACACUGACGCUGAGUGAGCGAAAGCCAGGGGAGCAAACGGG
rnacentral:rRNA from 1 species